rnacentral:rRNA from 1 species
GGCUCAGGACGAACGCGGGCGGCGUGCUUAACACAUGCAAGUCGAACGGGAUCCAAGCAGUGGCAACACUGUGGAAGAUCUAGUGGCGAACGGGUGAGUAACACGUGAAGAACCUGCCCCAGACUCUGGAAUAACACUCCGAAAGGAGUGCUAAUACCGGAUACCUUCUCGAGGUCGCAUGGCUUUGAGAAGAAAGAUUCAUCGGUUUGGGAGGGCUUCGCGGCCUAUCAGCUUGUUGGUGGGGUAACGGCCUACCAAGGCGUCGACGGGUAGCUGGUCUGAGAGGAUGAUCAGCCACACUGGGACUGAGACACGGCCCAGACUCCUACGGGAGGCAGCAGUGGGGAAUCUUGCUCAAUGGGCGAAAGCCUGAAGCAGCAACGCCGCGUGCGGGAUGAAGGCCCUCGGGUUGUAAACCGCUUUCAGCAGGAACGAAUCUGACGGUACCUGCAGAAGAAGGUCCGGCCAACUACGUGCCAGCAGCCGCGGUAACACGUAGGGACCAAGCGUUGUCCGGAUUUAUUGGGCGUAAAGAGCUCGUAGGCGGUUCAGUCAGUCGGGUGUGAAAACUUCGGGCUUAACUCGAAGCAUGCAUCCGAUACUGCUGUGACUUGAGUCCGGUAGGGGAGUGGGGAAUUCCUGGUGUAACGGUGAAAUGCGCAGAUAUCAGGAGGAACACCGGUGGCGAAGGCGCCACUCUGGGCCGGUACUGACGCUGAGGAGCGAAAGCGUGGGUAGCAAACAGGAUUAGAUACCCUGGUAGUCCACGCUGUAAACGUUGGGCACUAGGUGUGGGCUCUAACCAACGGAGUCCGUGCCGCAGCUAACGCAUUAAGUGCCCCGCCUGGGGAGUA